UCCCUGGAGGACUAGUGGUUAGGCCUCGGCGCUCUCACCGCCAUGGUCCGGGUUUGAUUCCUGGCCAGGGAA
rnacentral:tRNA from 1 species